UAGACACCUCAUUCCUGAUGGAAUCCAUCGCCACGAAGGUAUGAGAGAAGAGGCCAGUUUCUGCCCUUUUAAUGCUGAGCUCCAUGUAAGGGAGCCACUGGUACCAUUUUUCACGUCUUUGGUAUGACGCGGCCAGGGAUCGAACCCACAACCUCCCGCACUUGAAGCGGAUGCUCUACCACUAGGCUAUUGAGGCGGUUGUUGUUUACUGUUACAGUUGAGUAGUACAUCAGUUGAAGCAAGAAUUAAAGAAGAUGCAAGACAUCAACCGAGUCUCUGAGUGUGAGCUGCAGAAUUUCGAGAUGAAGUACAAUGACCUGCAACAGAAAGUGAUCACGUCCCAGGACAGGAACCGAGCCCGCCCGCUUAGCUCAAUAGGGAGAGCGUUGGUCUACGGAUCGCGGGGUCGCAAGUUCGAUCCUUGGGCGGGGCGUAUGUUCUCCGUGAUGAUUUGAUAAAAGACAUUGUGUCUGAAAUCAUUCGUCCUCCACCUCUGAUAAUUCAUGUGGGGAAGUUGGCAGUUACUUGCAGAGAACAGGUUUGUACUGGUAGAGAAUCCAGGAACACUGGUUAGGUUAACUGCCCGCUGUUACAUAACUGUAAUACAGUUGAAAAUGGCGUUAAACCCAAAACAAACAAACAGGACAGGAACCGCCAAGGUCUUCAGGAGCCCUCUGCAAAGGAGGAAGAAUUAGUUGUUGUUAAUGUGGAACUCAGUGCCUUACAAGAAAAAUACAAGACCCAAGUUCUGAGAAGUUUUUGUCAGAACUUGAGUUGUUGAGACAUAAUUACCACAGUGCAAAUGAGGAGAUAAAGGGAUUGAGAAUGGCCCUGGAAGAGUCAAGAACCAAUGGGGACAGACUGCACAAAGAGAGUGAACUGGUUGUGCAGAACGUAAACACCUGGGUACAGGAACAAAAACAUGCCAAUGAGGAAUUUGGGAGUAAAGUAAAGCCAUCAUGCAGCUCAAGCUGUAAAAGAACAAAUGUUGGAACAGAUCAGCAAGUAUCAGAAACAGAACAACAAGAUAAAGAUUGAGCUGGACGAGAGACAUAACGAAGCAGAGAGAUUUAAAGCUCUACAGAACCACAGCUCACACCAACAAGUUUUCCUCAACCAGCUCAGGUCCAGGCUAGAGGAACAUUAAAUGGAACAAGAUCAGGAAGUAUCGAGCAAGAUGGCUACUAUAGAGGAUCUUCAUAACCAACUCAAACUCAACAUUGACA